rnacentral:rRNA from 1 species
AACUAAGCAUAUCAAUAAGCGGAGGAAAAGAAACUAACAAGGAUUCCCCUAGUAACUGCGAGUGAAGCGGGAAGAGCUCAAAUUUGAAAUCUGGCGGCUCCGCCGUCCGAGUUGUAAUCUGGAGAAGCGUUUUCCGUGCCGGACCGUGUACAAGUCCCUUGGAACAGGGCGUCAUAGAGGGUGAGAAUCCCGUCUUUGACACGGACUCCCGGUGCUCUGCGAUGCGCUCUCGAAGAGUCGAGUUGUUUGGGAAUGCAGCUCAAAAUGGGUGGUAAAUUCCAUCUAAAGCUAAAUAUUGGCGAGAGACCGAUAGCGAACAAGUACCGUGAGGGAAAGAUGAAAAGCACUUUGGAAAGAGAGUAAAACAGUACGUGAAAUUGUUGAAAGGGAAACGCUUGGAGUCAGUCGCGUCUUCUGGAACUCAGCCUUGCUUCUGCUAGGUGCACUUUCCAGUUCGACGGGUCAGCAUCGGCUUUGGGAGGCGGACAAAGGCGCGGGGAAGGUGGCAGCUCCGGCUGUGUUAUAGCCCCGCGUUGUACGCGUCUCCCGGGACCGAGGAAUCCGGCGCUCGUCGCCUGGGAUGCUGGCGUAAUGGCUUUAAGCGACCCGUCUUGAAACACGGACCAAGGAGUGCUACAUGCUCGCGAGUGUUUGGGUGGAAAACCCGAGCGCGCAAUGAAAGUGAAAGUCGAGACCCUUUGCGGGGGCACCGACGCCCGAGCCUGAAGUUUACGGACGGCCUUGCGGUAGAGCGAGUAUGUUGCGACCCGAAAGAUGGUGAACUAUUCCUGAGGAGGGCGAAGCCAGAGGAAACUCUGGUGGAGGCUCGUAGCGGUUCUGACGUGCAAAUCGAUCGCAGGACUUGGGUAUAGGGGCGAAAGACUAAUCGAACCAUCUAGUAGCUGGUUCCUGCCGAA